AGAGAGAGAGAGAGAGAGAGUUGCCUUAGUAAUCUUAGGCUACUACCUUACUUUUAUAAUGCUCGGUAUGUAACACCCUAAAACCCCUGACUUUAUUUUAUAGAAAAUUCACACGUAGGAUGUUACUUCAUCGAAACACUGAUACAUAAACAUGCAACUUCAAUAAUCCGCAGCGGAAAAUAAAAUAAAAACAUAACAUAAGUUUGAAUUAAACAUCAUUGAAAACUCCAUGAAAAUGAG
rnacentral:lncRNA from 1 species